UUUAGUCGCUGUUUCCGGUGAAGCAAGAGUUUGGAGAGUGCAAGCGGUGUCAGAACCGUGCUGUGCACAGCUGGGAACGAAGGCACCUCUCCAUGCAAAGCCAGCUCGCGGAUCCAAACCGAUGCAAAGGGAAAAGCUCCGUGCAGGGGGAACAUCGGGGCUGUCCUCGGGCAGGCACAGCAGCAGCAUCAAGCAUGGACCCGGACCUCUGGGUGCAGAACUGAAUUUUCUGAUUUCCAGAUGCAACUGCAAUAUAAAGCAGAAAUAAAACAAGGCAGUUAAAUUGUUGAAGCCCAUAAUCUCUUCACAUAACUCCCAAGAAAAAAGGCAACUUCACUUAAGAUGUCCUUGUUAGAUUAAAGACUCCUCAAAUGCUGAUUACCCCCUCCGAAUGCGAUGUGCCUCAUUCAGCAGAGCAUUGCCCUACUUUUGUCCCGGAGUAAUUCUGCUGCGUGCCGCCGCAUUACAUCGCUGCAAAGCUCCAGCGGCGUGGAGGUGAGUCGGGGCUGUUACUUAUCCUUAUUUACUGCCUCUUGUAAGAGGCCUGCCAUUACUUACUGCUAAAUUGGAGAUGCAGUGGCACAUUUGGAUGUUUGCGUUUAAUUGCAGGAGCAGAGCGGUGUUUCAGCAUGGAGAGAUAAACUCAGGUUCUGCCCACAGGCAUCCCAACAAUAUGGCACGAGAGGCAGCAGCCAUCCUUCCAUCCAUCCAUCCAUCCAUCCAUCCAUCCAUCCAUCCAUCCAUCCAUCCAUCCAUCCAUCCAUCCACCCACCCACCCGAGGGUGCUCCCACCGAGGGAGGCAGGCAUGAGGAACACCUCACUGCUGGAGAAUUUGGGUGGUGGGGCCACGUGCGCGCUCCCACACUGAGUCACCACGCGAGAGCAGUUGCUUCCACUGUGAGCAGCGGCCGAGUGGGAGGGCUGGGGAUUAUGAUUCUGGAUUUAGGCAUCUGUCCCAUUUAAAGUCCCGUUUUGGCUCUUUAAUCCCCGUUUGGAUCUGGGACCUUGCUUUCUAAAAAUGGAAAUUAAUAUUAGAAGUCGUUCCUUAACACAUGUUUAUUUUCCAAUUUAUCGAAUGUACCUAUUACACUCUCCAGACACAUGUGCUUGAUUAUAAUGAUUAUCAUAUGUAUUUCUAAGGCACUCAUCACCAUAAUAUCAAAUGUCAUUAUAGAAAUUAUGAAAGAGCAUCAGCAUUUCUUCCUUGGAAGAAGCCAGUUUCCUCUUUUCCCACCGCAUUAGUGAAAUCACAGAAAUGAAGCUGACUUUAUGCCACUUUUGUUUCAGCCCAAGACAAAACAACCGACUCCCCAGUGCAAUGUGCAAUGUGCACCUGAAGCCAAGCACAGCUCGGUGAGAAGGCCUGCGGCCCUGCAGGGGGGUGAGCUCCGAGGCUGAGGCUCUGCACAGACCCCGGUGAGGCUCUGGGGCACGGGGGGCUGCAGGAUCCCCACGGGAAGGCACAAGGAAAAGGAAGCCCUGCGCUCGGCUGCGAGCCUGCCGGCCUCACCACACCCCAGCUGCUGCUCCCCAGGCAUUUCUUUGUCGAAGAGAUUUCUCAAUGAAAAGUAUCACGAAUUUCUGGAGCAAAAAAAACAACUGUCUAGACCAAGGGCGGUAACCGCUCAAGAUGGGGUUGCGUGUGCUCAUCGCUGGCUGCUCCAAAGCCACCUGCAUAUUUGGCACAGGUCAGGACGAAAGGAGACGCCAGCACAGGUUCUUGAUGCUGUACGUGUUUUCCUAGGGGUGGAAGAUACAGAUCUGGAUUUUUGCAGGAGAAACGACGCUUUCACCACAUUAUUUCUUUAUUUUAUUUAAGAAAUGGCAGAAGGAGGAAAGAGCUGUAAACAAGGAUGGAAACCUCCCUGCUUGGGAGAGGCGUCUGGAGGAUGCACAGAGCACUUCGUGCCUGUGCGUGCGUGGCCAGGGGCAGGGAUAUGGGGGCUGCUCCAGAACAGGGGUCUGCACUAAGCAGAAGAGCUCAUUGCAAUCCAGACAUACGUGUCGUGUCACGGUGGCAUGGAGGCGAAGCAGCAGGGAGGCUGCAUUUGGAUUGCUGACUUAGACUAAUGCUUGCUUUUUUUUUUUUUUUUUUUUUUUUUUUUUCCUUUGUGCCAUUUAUGUGAUUAUUUUUGUGCUUCAUAUGCUCAAAAAUCCCUGGGAAAAAUAAUCUUUUUUUUUUUUUUUUUUUUUUUCAUUUUUGCUUUGCAAGUCACUUUGUAAAGAACUGCUUUGGUGUCUUUAGAGAGCUUUAAACCCACCUGCUUCCUCUGUAAAGCACAGAUGAGGAAACAGGAGCGAGCGGCCAGCCCGGCACAGACCUCGGAUUCAGGAACCUUGAGUGAAACUGAAUAUAUUGGUCCCACAUCUGGGAAGUUUUUAAGGCGGAUUUUCACUCUCAAAGCAAAAGAUUUAUUUCCCUGUAGCAGGACAGAAGGAACGCAGGGGAGGAGAGCUCCUCUCGCUCCAGCAGUUGCUGCCACCCUGCUGUGGGCACCGCUCGCCACGGUGCUCAGCCUCUGUGUGGACCCAAAUCGUGCCCACAGAGCUGGGGGAAGGAGGUGCUUUGAAAAAGAAGGGACCAAAACCAGGAGGCAAAUGAGCUGGUGGAGCUGCACAUCGCCACCCGCUUCCUCCUAUCUCAACGUGCUGAUGUGGGCACUUGAACGCUUCUAAGGUCACUUGGAUAAUCUAAUAGUGCUCAGGAUGAUAUCUGGCGCAGGCAGGAACUCUUCGAAGGGUUUAAACAACAUCUAUCUUCAUUAUUUUACACCCUCAUGUCUGUAUGAUUGAUUCACACUAAAUUUUGUUUAAUUGCUCA